rnacentral:rRNA from 1 species
CCUACGGGAGGCAGCAGUGAGGAAUAUUGGUCAAUGGGCGCAAGCCUGAACCAGCCAAGUCGCGUGAGGGAUGACGGUCCUAUGGAUUGUAAACCUCUUUUGACGGGGAGCAAGGCCCGCCACGUGUGGCGGGAAGGAGAGUACCCGACGAAAAAGCAUCGGCUAACUCCGUGCCAGCAGCGGCGGUAAUACGGAGGAUGCGAGGGUUAUCCGGAUUUAUUGGGGUUAAAGGGUGCGUAGGCGGAAGGUUAAGUCAGCGGUCAAAUGUCGGUGCUCAACACCGGCCUGCCGUUGAAACUGGUGUUCUUGAGUGAGGGAGAAGUAUGCGGAAUGCGUGGUGUAGCGGUGAAAUGCAUAGAUAUCACGCAGAACGCCGAUUGCGAAGGCAGCAUACCGGCGAUCAACUGACGCUGAGGCACGAAAGCGUGGGGAGCGAACAGGAUUAGAUACCCUUGUAGUC